rnacentral:lncRNA from 1 species
UAUUACGAAAACUCGGAAUCAAUAUACAAAAAAAUCAAUUUAUAUCCAUUAAUCAUAAACAACACCCAAAAUCAUAUGGAUAUACAAAAGUCAAAAUAUACAAAUCCAGAUCUAAAUCUAUAUACAAUUAAUAAUAUCUAUAUACAAAUCAUAUACAAAUCCAUAUCGAAAACCAGAGCUAUGUUUUCUUAUUAUUCUUAUUCUUCUUCUUCCGUCCGUUUGAAAUCCUGGUUGAAGCUCCGGCUCAAACUGUCUUCAAAUCUUGAUUCAGCUGCCAAACAACAACAGAAACACCAAGAAAUCACAAACGAAAAGGAAAGGGAGAAAUCGCACCAAACAACAAUAGAAGACCAAAGGGGUUUGACCAACCCUAGAAACACCACGAAACAUAGCAGCUGGCUGCCAAAUAUUGGGAAGUGAGGAGGAGAAAAUCGAGAUGAAAGGAAAAAUGAGAAGAAGAAGAAGAAGAAGCGAGGAGGGGUAUUUUCAGUGGGUAGAGAUUGAGAAGAAGAAGAAGAAGAAAGAUUAUGGUUUUGAGAAGAUUGUGUUGACAUGGAUUAAGCCUAAUAGAUAAGGCCCUGUCAUUGCAGCCAUCACAGCCCAUACCCGGCCCACAUAAACCUGGACUAAGUCCAACGCAAGCUGUCGUUCAGUAAUAGAAGCCAUUAGUGGAUUCGACUGACCAAUUCAUACUAACCCUAAUUGCCAUUUUUCAACUCGCAGAAUCAAAAAGGGAACUCUAUUGAAAUGCGGAGAAACAAAAGUCGAGCAUGGAAAGGGAGAAGCUUCGGACUUACCUUCUUGGUUGGAUGAGAGCAACCCACGGCGUCAAUAAAUACCAGACGCUGCAGACCUCAUAAGUGUGGCUUCUGAACCGGAGAUAAACACUGUAAGGUUGAGCGUGUCGUCUGAAGGAAGAUCGCGCGACUGGAAGCUGGAGCAUCAACGAUUGCUGUCUUGAUUGGGUUAUGCUGGAUGCCUGAGUGGAGCUGGAGCCUAACAGAGCCAAUCAAGAGUCACGAAUCGAAGACUAAGCCCCAAGUUGUUUAAGGUUGCAGAGUUACCAAUCUCGUGUCCUUAACUGUAUUGUUUUGCUACUGAAUAAUUAUCACUUAGCUCUCUAAUUAAUCAAACUGAUUCUGCAUGCGUUAGCUUGGAUAGAAAUAUCAGAAAGCAUGAUGAUGACUUGCAUGUUUAGAAUCUGUGGAAUGUUGCUACAUGCAUUUGGUGUUGAAUGAUUCAAGUACUGAAAUACUUUACUGGUUAGUUCUAGAACUUGAUUCUUAUUUUCUGUUGAAACAGAAUUGUUUGGUAGCUGAAAGUCAGGGGAUCAGACUACAACAAGUGGUAUCAGAGCAGGUUUGCUGACCGAAUCAAUCCUCGAUAAGCAUUAGUCCAGGUGACUUCUGAUCCUAAACAACUGAAUAUUUAGUAACUGCAAUACUUGAGAUAAGAUGAGUGAUUCACAAGGUGCUAUUUUCUUGGCAGAUGGAUUUUCAGCUAAUCGUCCUCCCAGAUUUGAAGGAGCUCACUUUGGAUAUUGGAAGAAUCGGAUGGAACUCUUCAUCAAGACCGUCAAUCCAAUACUAUGGGUCCUCAUAGUCAAUGGUCCACAAGAGGUAAAAGCCAACCUUGAUAAAUGGACAGAUGAUGAUAUUAAAAAGGUACAACUAAUUUCUCAAGCAAUUAACUUAAUGUAUUGUGCCUUAGGAAAAGAAGAAUUCAAUCAAAUCUCUACUUGUAAGUCUGCUAAAGAAAUCUGGGAUAAACUGUGUGUAACUUAUGAAGGAACUAAUCUAGUAAAAACUACUAAAAUUAGCAUGCUGAAACAAGAAUUUGAGUUAUUUAAGAUGGAGCCUGGUGAGACUAUUAGAGACAUGGCUAAUAGAUUUCAGAACAUAACUAAUAAGCUAGAAGGACUAGGAAAAACCUAUGACAAUGAAGACAUAAUAAGAACAUUUUUAUGGUGUUUGCCUAGUCAGUGGCUUCCUAAGGUCACAGCCAUUGAAGAAACAAAAAAGCAUGCUGAUAUUAAACUAGAUGAGCUACUUGGAUCACUUCUCACACAUGAGGAAAUUUUAAAGAGAGAUAUAAAUACAGAAUUAAUCAAGGAUAAAAUGAGUAUUUCUUUUAAAACUAGUCUAGUCACCAGUACCAAUAAUUUAGAUGAUUAUGAUGAUGAUGAGCUUGCGCUAUUGUCAAAAAAGGUAAGUAAAAUGAUUCGUCUAAGAAAACACCGUAACAACUUUAGAAAUAAGGAUGCUGAAAAAACUGAUGAAUCUAAGAAAACACCCUUGUCUCUAAAAAAUGGUAUUAAAUCUAGGAAGGAGGGUACUGCUAGUUCGUCAAUAUGUUUCAGGUGUGGAAAGAUGGGACAUCUUAGAGCCGACUACACCACUAAGGAGAAAGCUUUUCAAGCUACUUGGAGUGCAAGUGAAGAUGAGAGUGAAUCGUCAAAUGAUGAGGAACAUGCACUCAUGGCAGUAGCUGAGGAACUGCCUGACGAAGCUCCUGAUAUCAAAGCUACUGUUGACGAGAAAAUUGAGGUAUUUCUAAACAAUUUAAGUAGUAAUGAAAAAUCUGAUAAUUCUGAUCUAGACAGUUUCACUGAAAAUGAAGAAGAAUUGUUUGAAACUAUAGAAGAGAUAACUUUUGAAUUUGCUGAAUUUAGAGUGAAGUAUUCAGAACUGAAAAGAAACCUAAAUGUUGAAAUACAAAAAUCUGAAAAUAUUGAAAAACACCUUAGACUAAACAAACAGAAAAUAAUGAAUGUAAAAAAUAAUCUUAGGAAUGUCCUUAGACAGAAUGGAGUGCUUAAGGGAGAAUUAAGAAGAUGGCCUUAUUAUCGUCACAAUAUUUUCUGCCUAAAUAUGUAGAAUUAAGAUCAUUUUGUCAUGUUGCCUCAGACUAUAAUAACUGGUGUUAUAUUUGUCACACAUCCAAUCACACAGUAGCAGAAUGUAUGUUUCGUGCUAAUAAAAACUCAACAUCCAAGACAGUUUGGAUGCAAAAAACCAAAUGACUAGUAUUAAUGCAGGUCUGUUAUCUAGCUGAUGAAGGAAGCUACAAAUGGAUAUUGGAUAGUGGCUGCUCUCAUCACAUGACUGGAAACGCUUCUCUUUUCUGUGAGUUAAUUUCUACAAAAAGGGGAAAUGUUAGCUUUGGUGAUAACAGGUCCUGCAAGAUUUUAGGAGUGGGAAAAGUAGGUAAUGCUAAAACGGUUUUCCUUAAAGAAGUUUUUCUUGUAGAAGGUCUUAAAUACAACCCCUCAAAGAAUUUUUCCUUGUAGAAGGUCUUAAAUACAACUUGCUUUCUAUAAGUCAAAUUUGUGAUGAAAAUCAUAGAGUCACGUUUGAAUCUAAUGCAUGUAGAGUCGAAAGUUUGAAAAAUGAUGUUGUUCUUUUCAAAGGAUAUAAAAAGGGUAAUAUCUACUUUGUAAACUUAGAAAAAAUUGACAACAUUGAUGAGUUAUGUUUUGUUUCUAUGAAAAUGGACGAACAGUUUGCAUGGCAUAGAAAGUUAGGACAUGUGAGUAUAGAAAUUCUGGCCAAAUUGAGUAGCUUAAAGUUGGUAAGGGGUCUUCCAAAACUGAGCUAUGCUAAAGAUUUCUUUUGUGAUGCCUGUGCUAAAGGCAAGCAAGUUAGAAGUAGUUUUAAAUCAAAAAUUGAUGUAACAACCUCUCGAACUCUAGAACUACUUCACCUUGAUCUUUUUGGACCUUCAAACUGUAUGUCUAUAGGUGGAAAAUAUUAUGGAUUCGUUUUAGUUGAUGACUUCUCUAGAUUUUCUUGGGUUUACUUCCUCUCGUCAAAAAAUGAAACUUUUCACAAAUUCAAAGUAUUUGUUUCAGCUGUUCAAAAUGAAAAGCAGCAAACUAUUAUUAAAAUUCGCAGUGAUAAUGGGGGAGAAUUCGUAUAAUCACGAAAUUAGUGAAUUGUGUGAAUAUCUAGGAAUUGAACAUAACUUUUCAGCACCAAGGACUCCUCAACAGAAUGGAGUAGUUGAACGAAAAAUAGGACUUUAAUAGAAAUUGCUAGAACAAUGCUUAAUGACUUUGCUCUUAGUCCUAAAUUCUGGGCAGAGGCUGUGAACACAACCCCUUUACUUGUUACAAAUAGGGCCUUGAUUCGUUCUAAGUUUAACAAGACUCCCUAUGAGCUCUGGAAAAAUAAAAAACCUAAUAUAGGAUACUUUAAGCCCUUUGGAUGCAAGUGUUUUAUUCUUAAUACCAAAGAUCACCUUGGUAAAUUUGAUGCCAGAUCGGAUGAAGGGAUCUUUCUAGGUUAUUCUAAUCACAGUCGUGCAUAUAGAAUCUUUAAUAAAUGGUCUAAUAAAGUUGAAGAAUCAGUUAAUGUAACCUUUCAUGAAAAUUCUAAUGCUACCAUUGAGUUGACCAUUGAGUUGCAGGGAGCAAAUGACGAUGCAUUAGAACUGUCCUAUACCAAUCCUGUUUCCAGGCUGCAACCACAACCAAAUGCAGAAUUCACUAAUGACUCCGAAGUGAAACUGGGAGUAAAUCAGGAAGGAAGCAUCUCCAAUAGCAUAAACGGUGAAGCAACAUCAUCUCAACCUACCAAGCCUGAUCAGCUUCAAGUCCCUCAACAUAUCCAGAAGAGACAUCCUCCUAAUCAGGUAAUCGGAGAUCCAAAUGAACGUUUAGUUACUCGUUCUCGAACAUCUCAUUCUGCAUUUGUUUCCACAUUAGAACCCAAAACUGUGAAAGAAGCAUUAUUAGAUGAUGAUUGGAAUUUAGCAAUGAAUGAAGAAAUGGUCAAGUUUGAUAGGUUGCGUGUUGGGAAUCUUGUUCCUAAACCUACAAAAAGAACUAUCCUAGGAACUAAGUGGGUUUUUUGAAACAAAACAGAUGAUAAGGGAGUUAUAAUUAAAAAUAAGGCCAGGUUAGUUGGUCAAGGGUAUGAUCAAGAGGAAGGUAUAGACUUUGAUGAAACUUUUGCUCCUGUAGCCAGACUCGAGUUUGUUAUGCGCUUUUUCCAGCAUAAAUCGUUUCAAGCUUUAUCAAAUGGAUGUUAAGAGUUCCUUUCUAAAUGGGGAUUUAAAAGAAGAAGUUUAUGUCUCUCAAUCUCCUGGUUUCGAAAAUCAUGCAUUUCCUCAUCAUGUGUAUAAACUAAAUAAAGCACUAUAUGGUUUGAAACAGGCUCCUAGGGCCUGGUAAGACAGAUUAAGUUCAUUCCUAAUAUCUCACGGGUUUACCAGGGGUUCAGUGGACAGCACUCUGUUUACAAAAACAAUUGGCUCCUGUCUUCUUCUUGUUCAAGUAUAUGUUGAUGAUAUCAUCUUUGGUUCCCAAAAUGAAAAUCUAAGCAUGAGAUUUAGUAAAACAAUGCAGGAUGCCUUUGAAAUGAGUUUAAUUAGAGAACUUUCUUCCUUUCUAGGCUUGCAAAUUAAGCAAACUCACUCUGGUACUUUUCUAAGUCAGUCUAAAUAUUGCAAAAACAUGUUAACUAAGUUUGAAUACUCUCUAGUAAAACAUUGUGCUACUCCAAUGUCCACCUCUGUUAAAAUACACAAUGAUGCUUCUGGGAAUCCUGUUAAUGAGAAAUUAAUUAUAUCAUGGAAUGAUUGGUUCUCUUCUCUAUCUUACUACCAGUAGACCUGACAUUGCAUAUAGUGUAGGUGUUUGUGCUCGUUUUCAAAGUCAACCUCACGAUAUUAACAUAAAGACUGUAAAACGAAUCUUUCGAUAUCUUGCUGGAACUCUUGACCUAGGACUAUGGAAUCCAGCUGAAGGAUCCAUGGAGUUGUUAGGCUUUUCUGAUUCUGAUUUUGCUGGCAAUAUUAUUGAUCGUAAAAGUACGUCUGGUACGUGCCAGUUCCUAGGGGGCUCUCUUGUUUCAUGGUUCAGUAAAAAACUAGAGUUCCAUCGCACUUUCUACUGCGGAUGUAGAGUAUAUUGCUGCUGGUAGCUAUUGUACUCAAAUUUUGUGGUUAAAGGCUCAACUUCGAGACUUUGGAAUUUGUCUGUCUACUACCCCUCUUUUGUGUGAUAAUACUAGUGCCAUCAAUAUGACAAAGAAUCCUGUUUAUCAUUCUCAUACAAAGCAUAUAGAUAUAAGGCAUAACUUUAUUUGAGAUCUUGUUGCUAGCAAAGAAAUAGAACUCACAUUUAUCUCUACUGAUUCACAGUUAGCAGAUAUAUUUACUAAACCUUUGCUUAUUGAUCGAUUUCUUUUUCUUCGAAAGUCAUUAGGAAUUAUCUCGCUCACCGAUGUUAAUAUUGAGGUACGUGCUUAAAUGUUUCAUAUUUUAUAUCUCCGUUGUCCUGCUGUUUGGUUCCACUGUCCUGUUUAGUAGUAUUAAUUAUUAAUUGUUCUUCUUCUCCUUUUCCGUCCCCAUAUCGGAUUCGCACUUUAAUUUUUUUUCCUUUAUUAGUUCUUAAUUGGUCUCAGUUUUCUCUCUCUUUCCUAGCAGCCAACAGAAGACAGUCCUACCGUUCCCUAUUUAUAAUCUUCUUUCUUCUGGUUAUUCUCAUUCCUUCCCAGCUUCAAAUUAUGAACUCAUACAAUCACAUGUUAGCUUCCCUAGCUCGCAACCAUGUUUUCUUUGUCAAUGAUCAUAUGCGCAGUUGUGAACAUCAGGCUAUUUAUCUUGAAUCAUUCAUUGAACGUCCUAUUCUUCCAUCUAUUCAUAUUGAUCAAUGUUCCUUUGAUCGAUAUGGUCUCAAUCCAUAUGCUCUUAUUGGAAAUCUUGGAUGGAGUUCCAUUGCUCUUAAUCAAUGUCAUCAAUUCUUUCCUGCUGCGGUUCGUCAAUUCUAUGUGAAUCUGCAGCUAGAAGGAUCCCUGCAGAACGGGCGAUUAAGUACCAUUGUUGAUGGAUAUCGCAUUGUAGUCAGUCCUCGCCUUAUUUCCUCACUUCCAGGACUCCCUACUGGUGGUGCCUCUAUCUUCAAUGAAUCUGACCUCUGCCAAAUCCCUUUUGAUGCCUCUGUCAUUCUCGCUUGGUGGACCAAUGCUCUUCCGAUGGCUCGUCCUCUCUCUAUUAUCUCUAUGCUACCAGAUUACCUUAAGGUUCUUCAUUUUUUUAUCUCCAGAGUCUUUCUCCCUCGCUCUGUAGGAAAAUUUCUGGUUACAAGCAUAGAUACCUGGAUUAUGCACUGUGCCAUUUUUAAUUUCCAAACAGACUAUAGCUGUUUAAUGUUCGCUACUAUGGUCUCAUACGGUAAUCGUGCGUUUCCUGGUGAUCUUCCUUUUGGUCCUGCUAUUUCUUAUCUUCUUUAUGCUCUUGGUGUUCCCAUCCAUGGCACUUUUCUGCUUGAAGCCCCUCUGCAUAACCUUCGUCCCAGUCGUGUACUCCGUGAGGUUGGUUGGGAUCAUCUUCAACCUGCCUCUGGCUCAGGGGGAGAACCACUUCAUGAUCUCAACUUUUCUGACGAUGAAGUGGAUAACCUUGCGGAUGAGAUUGAACGGAACCUGGAAAUUCAGGAAGGACUGGAUGCAGCUGCAGAUGACCUCUCCUUAACUAGUCACUCUCCGUCUAGUGGCAUGUAGCUGGUGACUGUGAUGGAAUGUGCUCCCGCUACAGCUUCUUGCCUUGUUUUCUCUUGUUAUUGCUCUAGGAUAUUAUGUUCUCAUCGUAGGUUCCUAUUUUUUGGUUCCGUUGCAGUUGUCGACUUCUGUUUUCAGUGUAGUAGUGCUUCUGUGUUCUAGCCUUGUAUUCCCCGAUUAGGUUAACUAUUAAUAAAAUCAGCGUGCUGUUUAUUUCCAGAGUAUGGAGUGGCAUUGAUAAAAGUUUUCUUGCCUCAUAACUUAACAGCAUACACAGGCAAGUUUAUGCAGGUUCAUGAAGUCGAUAUCAUUAAGAUCUCACAAUGAAUCUUGGUGUAAGGCGUGAGCCAUCAUCAGGCUUAGGGGGAGCUUUUUGACAUGGAUCAAGCCUAAUAGAUAAGGCCCUGCCAUUGCAGCCAUCACAGCCCAUACCCGGCCCACAUAAACCUGGACUAAGUCCAACGCAAGCUGUCGUUCAGUAAUAGAAGCCAUUAGUGGAUUCGACUGACCAAUUCAUACUAACCCUAAUUGCCAUUUUUCAACUCGCAGAAUCAAAAAGGGAACUCUAUUGAAAUGCGGAGAAACAAAAGUCGAGCAUGGAAAGGGAGAAGCUUCGGACUUACCUUCUUGGUUGGAUGAGAGCAACCCACGGCGUCAAUAAAUACCAGACGCUGCAGACCUCAUAAGUGUGGCUUCUGAACCGGAGAUAAA